rnacentral:rRNA from 1 species
GACGAACGCUGGCGGCGUGCUUAACACAUGCAAGUCGAACGGAAAGGCCCUGCUUUUGUGGGGUGCUCGAGUGGCGAACGGGUGAGUAACACGUGAGUAACCUGCCCUUGACUUUGGGAUAACUUCAGGAAACUGGGGCUAAUACCGGAUAGGAGCUCCUGCUGCAUGGUGGGGGUUGGAAAGUUUCGGCGGUUGGGGAUGGACUCGCGGCUUAUCAGCUUGUUGGUGGGGUAGUGGCUUACCAAGGCUUUGACGGGUAGCCGGCCUGAGAGGGUGACCGGCCACAUUGGGACUGAGAUGCGGCCCCGACUCCUACGGGAGGCAGCCGUGGGGAAUAUUGCACAAUGGGCGGAAGCCUGAUGCAGCAACGCCGCGUGCGGGAUGACGGCCUUCGGGUUGUAAACCGCUUUCGCCUGUGACGAAGCGUGAGUGACGGUAAUGGGUAAAGAAGCACCGGCUAACUACGUG